GGGUGCGUCUGGGGGAUGUCGACCAAGAACAAAAAACACAGGGUGAAAACCCUAGCUUCAUGAAUCAAGCAAUUGAAUGCUUAAAUCAAAAGAAAAUCUGAUGCAUGAGCUCAAAUUUCGAAUAGCAAGUCCCAAUUUCUUAAGUGGCGUGAAGGAAGAAGGUUCGGGUACUAAGAAACCGGAAGGCUCACAAGAUCGAGGUAAAUUCUCAUCUUAGGCUAUUUGGCAAAAUGGAGCGAGCACGUGAACACCACUUAACAUACCAAGCGCUUCCGCUAGUUUGCUUAAAUGUUUUGGGUCAAAUAUUUGUAAAAUUUUGUCUAAACUUGUUAGUAGACAUACUUGUCAAACUUGAGGUUCUCUUUUUUUUUUGGGUUUUAUUUGCGUCUAGUCGUAAGGGUCAUGAAAUAUUCUUGUAUGGAAGUUGUAUGAAA